UCCGUAGGCGGAUUGAUAAGUCAGAGGUGAAAUCCCACAGCUUAACUGUGGAACUGCCUUUGAAACUGUUAGUCUUGAGUUAUAUGGAAGUAGAUAGAAUGUGUAGUGUAGCGGUGAAAUGCAUAGAGAUUACACAGAAUACCGAUUGCGAAGGCAGUCUACUACGUAUAUACUGGCGCUAAUGGACGAAAGCGUGGGGAGCGAACAGGAUUAGAUACCCUGGUAGUCC
rnacentral:rRNA from 1 species